rnacentral:rRNA from 1 species
GACGAACGCUGGCGGCGUGCUUAACACAUGCAAGUCGAACGAAGUGGCGAACGGGUGAGUAACGCGUAAUUAACCUGCCCUUCAGAGGGGGACAACAGUUGGAAACGACUGCUAAUACCGCAUACUGAAGGAGGGGUUUGCGUCUGAUUAGCUAGUUGGAGGGGUAACGGCCCACCAAGGCGAUGAUCAGUAGCCGGGCUGGGAGGAGGAACGGCCACAUUGGGAAUGAGAAACGGGCCAGACUCCGAAGGGAGGGAGCAGUGGGGGAUCUUCCGAAAUGGACGAAAGGCUGACGGAGCAACGCCGCGGGAGGGAUGACGGCCUUCGGGUUGUAAAGCUCUGUUAAUCGGGACGCGGUACCGGAAUAGAAAGCCACGGCUAACUACGUGCCAGCCGCCGCGGUAAUAC